rnacentral:rRNA from 1 species
AUGUCUUCCUCUAUCGCACCCAUCCAAUCUAGCCUCAACUACAACACCUCCGAGCCGCUUACCUGGACGAACUAUGUUCUCUGGAAAGCACAAGCAAGGUCCCAAAUAAUGGGCGCCGACUUGUAUGGCUACAUCGACCAAACCAUCGAGGAGCCUCCCAAGAUUAUCACCUCCAAAGAUAAAGACGACAAGGAUCAGGUGAUAUCAAACCCUGCCUAUGCCCCCUGGCUUGUUCAGGAUCAACAAAUCGUUGCAUAUCUUCUUUGCAAUCUGUCCAAGGAAGGCCCCGUUCAAGUUGCAUCGCUUGAGACGUCGCAUGCCAUAUGGACAGCCUUGGCCACCAUGUUUUCUGCUAUCUCGCUGUCCAGGGCCAACAAUCUUCGCGCCGCACUCACCAACACCCAGAAGGGUUCCCUCUCCGCGUGUCAUGUCCACAUGCACACCAACAGAAUGGUUUCGCCGAACGUAAACAUCGACAUAUUGUUGAAGUAG